CCUUGCACCUAUUGCAUUUGCACUGUUUGACCCAUUCGGGCGCCCUCUUCUCAGUGAUUGAGGCGACGGCUUUGACAACCGACCGGCACACUCGACCGCCCACAGUCUCGCGCACUGUGGCCAUGGGCGAGCGGUUGGGCAUAUCGCCUGCGCGCACCAAGCGUGUCCGCAAUCAAUUAAGUUGAUCGUGCGAAAGGCGACACGACAGAAAGAGGAGCAUUAGCGAGAGAAAAAGGGGAAGCGUCAAGAUGAGAGAAAAUAGGCGCACCGAAAGGAUGGUGCACAGGCGACGCAUGGAAGCGAGACAGCCGCCCUCUGCCGCACGCUUGAGCAGCCAGGGGCCGAGCGGAACCGACGCCUGGGCCAAGGCGGCGCACACGAUAGCAUAAGCCCCCCGCCCCGAGGCCAACGGCGUCACAGGGCGCCGGCCCCAGCACACUGAAAAAGAUGGUCUUGGGCCAGAUCGGCAAAGUGACGCCAGGCCGCUUGGGCCGACGCGAGGUUGUGUGGUUCAAGUCGCGAGUGAUGGCCUCGAUCAACACGGACGGCAUGUCCGCCAGACCUGCAGACAGCAACGUACAGAGAAAAUCGGUGUCGGCCUCUGCCUCGGCGGGUGUGUGUGUGCCAUACUCGUCAGCAAAGGGUCCUGUGCUCGUCGGCGCCAUCUUGGCGGAACCCAAAAACGCCGGACAAACUCUGGCUUUUGCCUACAUAGUUGGGCGUUGAUUGCGUCGGAGCACUUUUAUUUCCUUUUUGGAGAACGCACACCUCAUUGGUGGGAUGACAAAGAAGAG
rnacentral:lncRNA from 1 species